rnacentral:tRNA from 1 species
UUAAUUGAAACCAAAAAGAGGUAAAUUAUUGUUAAUAAUUUUAUUGAAAGAUUUUUCCAAUUAAU